rnacentral:rRNA from 1 species
AGUGAACGCUGGCGGUAGGCCUAACACAUGCAAGUCGAACGGCAGCACAGGAGAGCUUGCUCUCUGGGUGGCGAGUGGCGGACGGGUGAGGAAUACAUCGGAAUCUACCUUUUCGUGGGGGAUAACGUAGGGAAACUUACGCUAAUACCGCAUACGACCUACGGGUGAAAGUGGGGGACCGCAAGGCCUCACGCGAUUAGAUGAGCCGAUGUCCGAUUAGCUAGUUGGCGGGGUAAUGGCCCACCAAGGCGACGAUCGGUAGCUGGUCUGAGAGGAUGAUCAGCCACACUGGAACUGAGACACGGUCCAGACUCCUACGGGAGGCAGCAGUGGGGAAUAUUGGACAAUGGGCGCAAGCCUGAUUCAGCCAUACCGCGUGGGUGAAGAAGGCCUUCGGGUUGUAAAGCCCUUUUGUUGGGAAAGAAAUCCUAUCGGUUAAUAACUGGUGGGGAUGACGGUACCCAAAGAAUAAGCACCGGCUAACUUCGUGCCAGCCGCCGCCGUAAGAC